CACCUUUCUCAUCACGCUCAAUCUCUCUCUCUUCUCUCUCUCUCUCUCGACACAAAAGAAACCCAAAAGUUGGAUCUAUAUACUCUCCACAUGUUUGCUUAAAGAGAAGCUGAAGGGAGACAAAAACAUCAUUUUUGUAUCUACAGAAGCCAUGUUCAUCACAAGGAAUCAAGCCAUUGGCCUUCUGUUGAUUUUCUUGGGCAUCUCCGGCUUGCGCAACGACUGCGUUUCCGGAGCUAGAUGUUUAAACGAGAAGGUGGAGAAUCUGGGGAAGCCUCGAGUUUUCAACUCAACAGGAGAAGAUGAAGGUUUUUUUGCCACAAGCAACAGAAAAGUGCCUUCUUCUCCUGACCCAUUGCACAAUAGGUAGGUUUUCCAGAACAACACAAAUAUCUUGCUUGGAAGCUACCUGUACAUAAAACCUACCUAUAUUGCCAAGAAAGUUCAGACAUUUUUUGUACUUUUAGGACCUUUUUUUUUAUUUAUUUUUAUUUUAUUUUAUAUAUACAAUGUAUUUUGAGAACCUUAGGUUUAUAGGUUUACAAGAAAUUAUAUGUUUUUGGCCUCUGGUAAAUGUGAGUGUUGUUACUGCAAAUUCGAAAGUAUAAAUAUCAUCUCCAGCAUAUGGCUUUUAUCAACCAAGUCGAACCCAAUUGGGAAAAGUUCUUUUAAGAGUAACAAAUAUGAUAAAAGCUUAUUGGUUUGAUUGAAGGGAAUUAAUACUAUUGAUUAACUUAGCUAUUGUUCAGGGAAAAUCUAGUCAUCAGUCAAUUCAUAACAAUCUUUGUAAAGUAAGGGGCGAAGCUUCGUAGACAACUUCCCUCCGUCAUUGCUUUUGCUGAAGCUGCGAGUUCAUGAGCAAGUGAAUGAACGAGCCAUGUUCCUAAAAGGAGUGACCAUCUUUGUGUUUUCUUCCCUUCCCACCCCUCAAAGCCCUAUUUUAGUAGACUAAGCUUGUAACCGCAACAUAUUUAAGUAGGCUCGCAACUUCGCUCAGCGGAAUGGCCUUAAUAUUAUAUUCAUAAAACACUUUUUUCAAAUCCCAACAAUAAUUCUUACAUGUACCUAAAGAUAUAAACUUUUUUUUUAUCUCACUCAUUAUGUGACUUUUUCAUAUAUGUAAUGUGAAAGGGAAAAGGGAUAUAAAAUCAUAUUAUACAUCCUCAAUUCCAAUUAACAAAACUAUGGGUGGCUUUGAUGUUGGAUACAUAAAAUAAUAGAAGCAACCAUACAAAGUAGGGAAAUAGACAAAAGAUCAUAUGAGCUGGGAAAUGGGAAUCUCCAUGUCAUAUUGUGGACGAGAAAGAUAAUCUAAAAAUUGAUGCUUCAAAAUCAUAGCUCUUUUGACUUCGACAGCAUAGCAAGAUUGCAAAUACAAUAAUUUCCACGAUUUUGAUCCUAAUCAUGCAAAAAAUUGAACAAUACUUGGCUACUUAAAGGUGAGUAGGAACUUCUACUCAAAACUUUUAGUGUUUUAAUCACAGAGUUUUGUGCCUAUGAUCAGAACCGUAUAUACUAUUAAUCACAUUGUAAAGAUCAUCUCUGCAAAAAAAAUAGAUUAAAACUAAGGUCAUCUAGUUAAUCUAUUGUAGCAAAUACAUAGAAAGUUUGUAAUGCUUUUACCAAUACCGUUCAUUUGUUUUUAAACAGUUUGAUGACUAAACAGCCUUAGUUUUAAUUGAUAUUUUGCAGAGGCGAUCUUUAUAGGGUGAUUUAUAAUAUGAACGGUUCUGAUUAUAACACAAACUAAUAUAAAUUGACAACGAACAAUUUUGAGAAAUUUUGAAUAAGAGUUCAUACUUAUCUUUGAAUAACCAAGUAUUGUACCAAAAAAAUUUCCAAUUUGUGGGCUCAAAGCAAAAAAAUCAAUUAAAACUAAGGUCGUUUAGUCAUCGAAAAAUAUAAAAACAAAUGAACGGAAUUGAUAAAAACAUUAUGAACCGUGUAUGUAUUUGCUACAAUAGUUUUACUAAACGACCUUAGUUUUAAUUAAUUUUUUGCAGAGAUAAUCUUUACAGAGUGAUUCAUAAUAUGAACGGUUCUGAUCGUAAGCACAAAGCUCUAUGAUUUAAACAUAAAACUUUUAAGUAGGAGCUCUUACUUAGAUUUGAGUACCCAAGCAUUGUUCAAUUGAAUAUCAACAAUAUAAUGAUGAAAGUAGACUGGCUUUUUGGAAUAUUAAAGGUUGGAACGGAGUCUAACGUUACGAUCUCUAAUACUUUUGGUUCGAAGAAGCUUAGGAUUUUCUCCAAUAUCUCUACUAAUUAAUAAAACUCUCUUUGUCAAUCAAAAGAGGGUGAAAAGACAAAUUAGUCUUCUAUCACACAAAAAAAAAAUGAUGGGCAAUAUCACCACUACAAUAUACCUUAUUAGUGGCGAAGCAAACACCGACAAGAAACCCAAUUUAUGUCGGAAAUUUAGCAAAAAUCCGACAUAAAACAAUGUAAUGUCGGAUUGGAAUAGCGACACUAAUACUGGCGUCACAAAAGGGCUUCAGUGUCGGUUUGUACGCUUAAUCCGCCAGUACGCAGUGUCGGUUAAAAGCGACACUGACACUGAUGUCGGUUUAAAGCGACGCAAAUUUCAACAUUACGUCGGUUUAAAGCGAUGCUAAUUACCAAUUUAAUUAUAAAAUAUCCAAACUACCAUCGGUUUUGACCGACAUUACAUAACAUAUGGAUACAUAAAAUAAUUAUUAUGAUGUUGUUCAUAAGCGACACCAAAUAUAUUAAUAAUAAUAAUAAAUCAUUUUCCGUUUUUAAUUAAUAAUAAUUAAAAAUUAUUAUAUAAAAAUAAAUCACACCAUAUGUCAAUGAAAAAACAAACAAUUUUAAGCAGACUUCAUAUUAAAAAUAAAAUUUAUACCAAUUAUAUAUUAAAUUUAACAUUAACUACAAUUCCUAAAAAUGUACAACUCAUACAAAUUCUUCCCGAACUCUUGCAAAAGAUUUUGAACCGGUUGUGUGGUUCAUAGUUUUCAACUGCCGAUUAUGCUUAUUUUUUUCGGCAAUCUCUUGAAAAAUAAAAGAAUUUAUUAGACAAAUUUCAAGGUAUAAUAAAAUAAAUCAUGAAACGUUUACCAUUGUUUUUUCUUUAUUCCAGUAUGCCUCCAUCGAAAUAUUUCUGUAAUCUUUAACCUCUGCCGCUACAUGUUUCGAAAACGCACUUGAAUUAUAACUAAUACAUUUUCUAGACUAAUCAAAUGAACAAGGCUGUUCUUUCCAGUUACACUCCUUGAUCCUAUAUGAAUACAAUGCACUAAUUUGAUCGUCAAUUUAAAAUAUUUACAGAAGUGGAUACCACAAAAUCUUAUGUUAUACUUAAUGAAAGUGUAAAUAAACUCUUAAGUGUUAGUGAAUCUAUCGUUUUGAUGGGAACCGUCAAACUUGUUUAUAUAUACUUCGAGAUCACAUACUCCAAAAAUUGCAAAAAACAAACAUUUAGAGAUCAAGUAACGAAACAAAACUUUUUUACGGUUAUCAAGGAAAAAUCAAAAUUUAACGGUGAUUUUAACUCCGAUUUUGAUGAUUUUUUUACAGCUACACUCCUUGACCCUAUAUGAAUACAAUGAAUGAAUUCGAUCUUUAAUUUAAAAUAUUUACACUAGUGGAUACCACAAAAUCUUAUAUUAUAUUUAAUGAAAGUAUAAAUAAAUUCUAAGUGUUAGUGAAUCUAUCGUUUUGAUGGGAUACGCAUUCUACGAAACUUUCAACGAUCCAACCAUCAAACUUGUUUAUAUAUGCUUCCAGGUCGCAUACGCCAAAAAUGGCAAAAAACAAACAUUUGAGAUUAAGUAACGGGACAAAACUUUUUGACGGUUAUAAACGAAAAAUCACGAUUUAACGGUUAUUUUAACUCCGAUUUAGAUGAUUUUUUACAGCUACACUCUUUGACCCUAUAUGAAUACAAUGAAUGAAUUCAAUCUUCAAUUUAAAAUAUUUACACUAGUGGAUACCACAAAAUUUUAUGUUAUAUUUAAUGAAAGUAUAAAUAAAUUCUAAGUGUUAGUGAAUCUAUCAUUUUGACAUAGAUAUUUAAAAAAACUAAAAUCUAUGUCGCUUAGAACCGAUGCAUGCUUUAAAAUAUUUAAAAACAAUACUUUGUGUCGCUUAAAGGUGACACCAAUACUUUAUGUCGCUUAAAAGCGACACUGUUUUGUUUAAAGCGACGCUAGUAUUUAAAAUUAUUAAAAUAUAUGUCGGUUAUAAGCGACAUUAAAUGUUUACGUCGGUUUAAAAGCGACGUAAAAAUUUUAUGACGCUUAUAAGCGACAGUAAAUCCGACGUCAUCUUCAGUUAGUGUCACAACUGUCUUAUCCGCCACUAUAUUAUAUUAAACCGACGCCACCUACUGACACUAUAAGACCCUUUUGUAGUAGUGAUAAUGUAAUUUCACAGGUCUUAAUUUUACUGUUUUUUUAUUGAAGCCUCAUCUACAUGUGAUAUUAAAAUACCUCCAUUAUUUAAAAAAAAACCAUUAACAAAAACCUCCCACUCCCUCACGUUCUCCCUCUCUCUCCCUCUCUCCUCCUUAAUAUUUCAAUAAAGCGCCAUACUUUCAUCUUAAAAAAAAAUUAAAAAUUAAAAAAAAAAAGAAAGGAAAUUAAGCUUCAAAAGGUUUUCAAGAUUUAUCAUGUACAAAGCAAAAUUUGCAAUGCAUGCGCAAACUGAAAGCAACUUAUAGGAAAAACGACUAGGAAAGAAAUUUGAUUUCUUCAUUUCAACAUCAUCGUCAGUUUUUUCAAACCGAAUCCCCGGACAAAGUUGAAGAACGGCUUUUCAAACGCUUUGAGAAUCGACGUUGAUGUGAAUUCCUGACGAUCUUGUUUCAAGUGAUCAUGGUGGCGAUGGCGAACCUUGCAGCAGAAGAAAAAAUAGAUUCCCUUCAGAAAUGGGACGAUGCAACUGCAUAAUGUAUGAGCAAUUUACCCUUUCAAUGUUCAAAGUAAAACUCUCUGUAAAUCAACUAUGUUAAACAUUACGUAUUUAAGGGUUCUUGCGUGCAAGCAUACUCCAUACCAGAGAUAACUGUGCAUAUCAAAAAUCAGAAGGCAAAAUAUGAAUCUUGUAGGACAAACCAAAACUAAACAAGUUGUGUUUGGGUUAAUAUUUGAAUAUUGGGCUUGAAUGAAGAAAAGCCCAAGAAUGCCAACUAAAAGGGAGACUUGCCUGAAGCCCAGCAUUAAGCCUAGAAGCAAAUUGAAGCCUUCUCAGCCAAGAUACAAGUCACGUAUCUAUAAUUGAAAUGACAAGUGAUAUGGAGACUAACCUCCUAUCAGCCAAAGAACACUUUCCAGUGACAUUACUAGUGAAAAGUCAAUGACUCACUACUCUCUAAGUGCUUUCGGGCAAAAGAAAAAGGUACAUCAGUCAGGCUAAAUUGUCUAUAAAAGGGAAGACAGGCCCCAGAGACAAAUGACACUCAACCAAUCAAACAAACAAACAUACAAACUCUGCUCUCAAACCAGAUUUGCAUCCAAAAAACUGAAAUCAUCCCAGAUUCAGUCAUUUUAGUGAUAGUUCUUUAGAAAACUAUCUCUUGUCUAGUAUAAAAGCUUUGCUAUCUCCCUUAGUGUUGUAGUAUCGAUUCCCUCGUGCAAACUUGUUUACCAUCCAUCCCUUUUUAGCAUAUAACCCCUGUAAAUUCAAAGAGAAGUGAUUGCAAGAAGUUCAACCUUGCCAAACAAGGUGAAAUCUUGCCUGAAGCUCUUUGUUUGUUUUCUAAAUUAGUAGAUCUAUUGCUUAAUGCAUUUUCCAGCAUGUAUUCAAGUUAUUUCCACCUGUUUUUCUAUUUUAAGAGUCUCAUUUGCAUCUGGAUCUGGUUAGCUUAAUGGAUAUGUUUCCAUUAAGAGCAGUUUAGGAUCAAACAAAUAACUUAAGGGGCUCUGGACUCCCUUCAUUCAAACAUACAGGACCAUGAACUAAAAGUCCUUACUUACAAGGAAAAAAAAAGAACUUAAUACAGACUUAACCCAUCUAUGACAAUCAUUUGAUAACAAGAAGUUGGAGUAACUUGGGGCGCAAGUAAUCAACUUAAAACACACUUGUUCUAGAUCUGUUAUACUGACAUAGCAGUGGCACGCCUAAGCAUUUAGUUAGUUUUGAUUGCGAGUCUCAAGGCCUACACUUAAGACCCCACAAAGGCACCUUUCAAAACUAACUUUAAGCUCUUAUUGCAGUACACCAGGCAAGCAAGAGCUCGACUACCAAACAUAUACAUCUAAAAUGUCAAUGCCUUGGGGAGUUGUGCUGAGGUCCAAUUAGUGUUCUCUAGAGAAAUCUUUGCUCGAACAUUGUUUUGGCACGUCUGGUGGGACCAAUUUAGUCUUGUAUGCAAAGAAGAAGAAAGAAUGAGCGAACCUUCAGGUGGAACACAGAAGAAGGGCCACCCUAGUAUCUACCAAGAUUAAGCAUGACAGAUCAUCCAGAAGAUUUCCCCUCCCUACGAGGACUAGCUAUUCUGGAGAGCACGACUUCAUCUGAGAAGUUAGGAGGAAAUGUGACUAAUGAAGACUUACAAGCCACCAUGGUGCAAGUGUUGAAAAGUAUGGAAAAGAUUGCUCUGGAAACCAGAGGAGAAGUGAGUAGACUUUGUUCCUUAACAGGGAGUCUACAAAGAAGAUUAGAUCCGGAGUAUUCUACUCCAAAAAAUGGUUAUGCCAGGGAAAUAAUGAGAGAGGCAAGCCCUAAGAAAGAACCAGUUAUUCCCCUAUUUCCUUUGCUUGAGGAAAAGAAGGAUAAAGGGAAAAACAAGGAAGGAUCUGGAGUUAUUCAGCCAGUAUUGGAGGAGAUCCUGGAAACAGAAUUGCUCGACCCCCUAUUAUUUUCAUUAGAUAGUAGGGGGCAGAGGGGGCAAGAAAGAAAAAAGUAUGGGAUGCCCCAAUUAAUCGGAGAAUCCAUCAGGAAAGGUGAGCUCACAAUUGUGAACAAACCACCCCCUUAUAGGCCACCACCAUUGGCUAAUAAGGAAUGAGGGGCCAGAUAGAGGAAACCCGAACAAAAAAAGGAAACUUUCUCGGGUAAUGAUCGUAGCCCGAAGUGGGAACCUCCUCAUACCCCACUUAAUAAUACAGCCAACCAGCAACUCAGAGAAGAGUUAGCCGAACUAAGAAAAUGCUUGCAUUUCCCACUUUUAGUGGAGAAGAUUGCAGUGUGUCCUCUUGUUGACCCUAAAAACUACCAAGACUACAUGGCGCGUAGGCCGAGUAACUAAUGAGCUAACUACGUCUUUCGGUUGAUUCGGGGCGUGCCAACUCGUCGGUCGAGCUUGGUUGAUGAAUAAAAUGUGUUGAUGUUGUGUUGAGCGCACGACUGACUUCUCGAUCUUGUGACUGCGGUUGAGGAAAGAACAUGUCUCGGCCUUUGGGUUCUAGAGCCUGAAGAUAAGGCUGCUAAUUUUGCGAAGUUCACAAAUCGUUAGCGUCGGAUUCGGUCACAGUGAUUAUAUUUGUAAGGGUAUAAGCACGCCGAAUCGACACUAGAGUAUAGGGGCACAUAUACUCAAAACAGAUAUAUGUCUUGAUGGUAAAUGUGGUUCGGCUGUCAGAAUGCCGAACUCUAAAGCUUACUUGUGAGUAUCCGAUCAUAAAACAACUCGACGUUCAAUGUGCUGAGCCCUAGUAAACUGUAACACCUCACAUCGCCGAAAAAGCUAAUGAGAUGACAUCUGCCAAUAAAUACCUGAAAGUCUUUCUCGACUGAGACUUGGAUAGACAACCAGUCGGCCUCGACGUAGUGCUGUUUAUCCAAACUGAAGCUGUUCCGCUGUCGGCUGGUUCUACAGCGAUAGUUCUGUUUGUCUAAACUAAAGGUAUCACCGGUUGCCUUCACAGUGCUGUUUAUCCAAACUGAAGAUGUGUCGGCGGAAAAAGAAAAUAAAAAAUCUCAAGGUUGUUGAAAGGUUUCGCGUAGAGCGAGGGUUUGUGCAGGGCAGUUUGUGUGUUGAAUUGGAGAGGGCCCAAUGAUAUCUGUGGUUCUGUAUUUAUAGAAGCAAAUGUUGUGUGGCGCGGCCAGAUAAUUUUGUAGAGUCCAACUGCAACUCUAAUUUGCGGAACUAAACUUGAUCUGCAUUAGAAGCCAAGGCAUAUCAUUCAAAUUGAUUUGUGGGAUUUGCUCCUUAACUUUUCAAACUCAUUAGCUAGAUAAGCAACAACCUAUCUUUUAGAUGUCAUCAUUACCCCUUAUUUUAUGCAAAUAAUUAACAUGCAACAACCUAUCUGAUGACCUCUACGGUGCUGGAAUCAAGGCAUGCAAGUUUAUCUCUUAGCCAUGUAUUUCAACAGGACUCAGCAAAAGGGGCACUGCCUCUAGUAAUUUAAAUGCAAGUUUAACUCUUGAUCUUUCCAUAAAAACUAUCCAGGUGCAAUCAUGCAUUAUCAAAAAAUAUCAACCUGAUCACAUUUCCUAGCCUUCCACGUGUAUGCAUGUUGACUCAUCAACUUAAUAUAAUCACCAUAUUCCAAGAAAAAUCACGUGCAACAACCCCAUCCAUGAAUUCCAAGUCAAUUUGACUUGUACCAACCACUUCUGUAUCAGAAAGAGGACACGUAGGAGAUUGCAUGAAUCUGGGGAUUUAUAUGAUGAUCCCAUUCGAAUUGAAGACAUAUCAGAUCAACUUUUCCAAACAUCCUCUGGAUAUAUCAAAUAUUAGGUUUAAAUAUCCCAGUUAAUAUUAAGAGAUAAUAUCAUGAUUAAAAUCAUAAUACUAUUUUCUCAAUAAUAACUCAAAUUCAUUUCAACCACUUUAUCAUUCAACGGUCUAAUAUUCGCUUGUUCAAUGGCCUCGAUUGUUCGGGAUGAUGGUGUAAUUUUGGGUCCAAACACCUCUAGAGAUCACAUUUUCAAGUUCUCCAACCAUUGUGUGGUGUUUGAAGACAAUCCUAACUAUAAGUUAAGAUUGUUUGGGAACUCGUUGGUUGGCCUAGCAUCUCAGUGGUAUUCUCUGUUGCCCCCUAAUUUUAUUGCUAACUUGGGGCAAAUGGAGAUGGCUUUUCAUGAACAAUUUUAUAGGGUGGAGCCUGAGAUGACUAUCAAUGAUCUAGUGGAGGUGAAGCAAUAUGAGCAUGAGUCUACAGAAGACUUCAUGAUGAGGUUUAGAAAGACAAGGAUAAGGUGCCAAUUCCCUAUCAAUCCUGCCCAACUUAUAUCCAUUGCUCAGAAGGCAUUGAGGCUGCCUUUGAGGAAAAAGUUUUAUGAUGUAUAGUUCAAUGAGCUGCAAGAAUUAGUGAUUGAUGCCACAAAGUAAGAGAAGCUGUUGGUUGAAGAGCAACAAUUGAAACACUCAUCUAAGGUGCCUCCUUUCUAUAAAAAUAAAGCUGCAAUUCACCAAGUAGAGUUUGAAGGUAAAGCUAGAAGAAAGUGAUGGUCAUGGAGGAAAAUGAAUUGAAAUGUGUGCAGUAGAGAUGACCACUCCCUUUAAACCUUUAAUGGUAAAAAGGUUAGUCCAGCCAAUCAAGGAUCAGAAAGUGGUGAUGAAUGAUGGUGGGUUUAUCCCUAUAAAACCCCCUAAAUACCAGAGUUAUUCUUUUGAUUUAACCAAGACCUCAGAAAUCUAUGAAGAAUUGGUGCGGACAAGAGUAAUUGUGCCCGACAACACCAAAAAGAUGCCUAAACCAGAAGAAUUAAGAGGAAAUAAGUAUUAUAAGCCGCACUAUACCUUCAACCAUUCCAUAACUAACUGUGUCCAGUUCAUGGAUUGGAUACAAUACCUCAUAAUCAAGGGAAAAUUGCUCUUAGAGAAACCCUAGGCUAAUAUGAUGGUUGACACGGAUCCCUUCCCAGAAGCCCCAAUAAACAUGAUCAACCUGACUUGGGCUGAGAAAGGGAAAGGAAAAGUCACUUGGGAAGUAAAAGCAGAAAGAAGGCAAUUUGACAGGCCUACAGAAGGAGCUAUCAAGUUGCCCGAGAAACCCAAAGCAGCCAUAGUUAAAGGACUGGUAUUGUGUAAUAAGUAUCAAUGUGAAUGUGAGCUAGAAGUCCCAGCAUCAUGAGCUAUUAUUGAUCAAGAGUUGAUAAAAAAAAAGAGAGAAAAAAAAGCAAGAAGCCCGCACAAGCAUAAUACGGGCAGCUGAGAAUGAGACUUCCAGAAAUGUUUUCCAAAGAUUAAGAGGAGAUUUUAACCUAAAAAACUUGUUCGAGGUAUUCAGGAACCACGAAACCUCGGAAGAGGUAGAAGAUAAAGAAGCCAAAAUACCAAAAUGGGUGGAGGUUAGGCCUCCUCAACCAAGUUAUGAAGGUGGUGAUGUCAGGAUGAAAGGAAGAACAAAGGGCGUAGUAUCCCCAAUCACCAAGAAGGAUUCUGCCCAACUCGGGCGGAAAUGAUGGGAGACUGGUCAAGGAAAUGGGAGCUUAUAUGAUUAUGAGAGUCCAAAGCCCAGCUGCCCGCUGCAGAAGUUUGUAUGAUAAACCUCUAGCCCGCGUUCAUAGCGGUCACUCCUUGCUCCCCAUGCUAGAUCCCUUGGCUGGAUGCAACUGAUAAAUUUCUCUUUGCAAAAGGCACUGGCGUCCUCCCCGAAGGCAUCCUGGAAAGCUUGGUCGGAAAACCAAUGAUAUCUUCUUAGUACUAAAGCUCCACACUUCAAGUCUGCCCGAGUCCUGCAAACUCUGAAGAAGUAGAGGCAAGAGAAUGUGGAGUGAUUGGUGGGUGAAGCCUCGACUAGAAUGCGGGCAGGAGCCACUCCUUUAUGAAACUCGACAUUGGGUGCCCGAAGCUCGGGAAAGUACCACUGCAACCAUAACUGGACCAUUCAGGUUGGCCUAUUGAGGUUGGUUUCAAAUGGUUCACCCUUAGUCAUUUCAAACAGAAGAUGGUAAAGAUGGGCAAGGAGAAAAUGGCACGUGGCCACGUCAUCAAAAUUAUGUAGAGCUUCCACCAAAGGGAUCCAUUCAACCUUUACUCCUUUGGACUUGUUGGGGAAGAUGUGCUUGUUGAGCCAGUACAACAAGAAGUACAUAUGUUUUUAAUCUUUGUUGGCAUUAGAAGAUGAAGGCCCAAAAAUCUUCUUAACAAACGGGAUAAAGCUUGGAAAGGAAGUCCCAUAACUAUUGAAAGUAGCAGGGUUGUACCCUAACUGAGUUAUGAGAUCAGAGGUGCCCGAGCUCUCAGCAGUCAGGCGAGAAGAGGGAGACCAGUUAUGGGUGACGUCUACGACUCUGCCCGAUGGCCUUAGCCUGAAGACUUAAGCCAUGUCAAGAAUGGUCGGGGAUAUGAGACCCAUCCCAAAAUCGAAGGUGUUGGUCCCCGAAUUCCAGAAUAUAAAAGUUGUGGUCAGUAACUCAGGCUUGGCAAUUAUGGUGGUCUUAAAGAGCAUUAUCAGCUCAUAUAUAUGUUAUUGUUCAUCCACUUUUGCUUGAAAGUAGGCUCGAGCUUGUUUAUCCACUACGUCCAGCCUUUGUAUUUCAUCAAAGGAAAACCCCUACGAUGGUUCGACCACUUGGAGGCCGAAAUGCCCGACUUAGCCAAGUACGAGGUUGAGAAUGAACCAGGUGGCCUUGGGCAUGUUGUUUUCCACUGAAAUAGGGACCUUGGAGGUCCAGGUAGGUCUUAGAGAAUGUACUCCCUCUUCAUCGAAGAAAAGAGAAGUAUUGAGGCCAGCCCGAGGGCGAUGAAGGCCGUUGAGCAAAUGGUGCAUGGUAGCAAUCCCUUCGCAAGACUCAUAUGCAGAUUGAAUAGUUUUGGGUGCCAUUGAGUUUGGAAGAAAUAUGAGAAGAAGAUUGGGAAUAAGGGGCAAGAAUUGAGAGCAAAAGAAUUCUAAAGGUUUUGAGAAAUCUGGGAUUUUGGAAGCUCGGAGGAUUAAAAUUGCUAAGGUACUUGGCCAAAGGAUUUAAGUGAAGAUUAUAUAGUAGACAAUUAUUUAACAUUUAAAAUAGUAGGUUAGUGCAAAUGUUUAGUUAACCAACGACUGUUUUAAAUGGUGCAAGUCCCGAGUAAAAGCAUGCGACAGCUGUUGAAUCAUCAUUAAUGCCUCGAUUUGCAGACUCAACAAUGAUUAAAGGGGGCAUUAUUUGGGUUAAUAUUUGAAUAUUGGGCUUGAAUGAAGGAAAGCCCAAGGAUGCCAACUAAAAGAGAGACUUGCCCAAAGCCCAGCAUCAAGCCCAGAAACAAAUUGAAGCCUUCUCAGCCAAGAUACAAGCCACAUGUCUAUAAUUGAAAUGACAAGUAAUGGAGACUGACCUACUAUCAGCCAAAGAACACUUUCCAAUGGCAUUACUAGUAAAAAGUUGAUGACUCACUACCCUCCAAGUGCUUUCGGGUAAGAGCAAAAGCUACAACAAUCAUGCCAAAUUGUUUAUAAAAGGGAAGACAAAACCCAGAGACAAAGGACACUUAACUAAUCAAACAAACAAACAUAGAAACUUUGCUAUCAAACCAGAUUUGCAUCCAAAAAACUAAAAUCAUCCCAGAUUCAGUAUUUUUAGCGAUAGUUCUUUAGAAAAGCUAUCUCUUGUCUAGUAUAAAAGCUUUGCUACCUCCCUUAGUAUUGUAGUAUUGAUUCCCUCGUGUAAACUUGUUUACCAUCCAUCCCUUUUUAGCAUAUAACCCCUGUAAAUUCAAAGAGAAAUGACUGCAAGAAGUUCAACCUUGCCAGACAAGGUGAAAUCUUGCCCGAAGCUCUUUGUUUGUUUUCUAAUUUAGUAGAUCUAUUGCUUAAUGUAUUCUCCAGCAUGUAUUCAAGUUAUUUCCACUUGUUUUUCUAUUUUAAGAGUCCCAUUUGCAUCUAGAUUUGGUUAGCUUAAUGGAUAUGUUUCCAUUAAGAGCAGUUUAGGAUCAAACAAAUAACUUAAGGGGCUCUGGACUCCCUUCAUUCAAACAUACAAGACCAUGAACUAAAAGUCCUUGCUUACAAGGCAAGAAAAAGAACUUAAUACAGACUUAACCCAUAUGUGACAAUCCUUUGAUAACAAGAAGUUAGGGUAACUUGGGGCUCAAGUAAUCAACUUAAAACACACUUGUUCUACAUCUGCUAUACUGAGAUAGCAGUGGCACGUCUAAGCAUUUAGUUAGUUUUGAUUGCGAGCCUCAAGGCCUACACCUAAGGCCCCACAAAGGCACCUUUCAAAACUAACUUUAAGUUCUUAUUGUAGCACACCAGGCAAGCAAGAGCUCGACUACCAAACAUAAACAUCUAAAGUGCCAAUUCCUUGGGGAGCUAUGCUGAGGUCCAAGGAGUGUUAUCCAGAGAAAUCUUUGCCCGAACAAGUUGUUCUAAAUAUUUAAUUCAUUACAUCAAAGAUGAAGACAUGGAAUUUGGGUUUUAGGGUUUCUCAAAACAAUCAUCAGAAGAGUUUACGCACGCGAUGUAUCAUGAACUACUCUCGUUAAUCUAUUCUUCAUUAAAGACUGAAAAAAUUACGAAUUGUAGGCCUUCGAUUUCUUCCCUUCGACUUCAGGGGGCGGUUUCUCCUUGAAUGGUAGGAACUCCUUUCCACCCAUGAAAGGUUGAAGAACUUUUGGUACGUUUACACCCUCUUCAGUCUGGUAGUUCUCGAGAAUGCAGCAUACAGUUCUCUCAGUCGCUGUAAGAGUCGAGUUCAAUAAGUGAACAUAUUGCUUUGUCUGCUCUUUGCUCUGCAAAAGAACAAGGGCACAAUGAGUAAAAAUAUAAUAUUUCAAUAGGUAACCAUACAUUCUAUGUUUUUUUAUAUAGGAAACGGUAGACCAUACAUUCUAUGUUCAAUUAACACCAUAUGAACAGAAUUUUUCCUAAAUUUGAUCAGAGCAUACAGUUCAAUGGUAUAUGACCUACUGUAAAAGUAUUAUUCAUCUUAUUUUCAAUUAAAUUUCCGAGGCACGAAUUAUAAAUCUUUACGUUAAUUAGGAGUACAUUCCGCAGUAAACAGAAAUGUGAAAUAAUGUCGGAUUUCCGAGGACAUACCUUUUUCUGCCCAUAUCGAAUUUCUAACUUUCUUGACUGGUAGUCCGUACAGUUUGAACAAGAAGCCAGCAUUUUUGCUUAAAGAGAAGCUGAAGGGAGACAAAAACAGCAUUUUUUGAUCUACGGAAGCCAUGUUCAUCACAAGGAAUCAAGCCAUUGGCCUUCUGUUGAUUUUCUUGGGCAUCUCCGGCUUGCGCGACGACGGCGUAUCCGGAGCUAGAUGUUUAAACGAGAAGGUGGAGAAUCUGGGGAAGCCUCGAGUUUUCAACUCAAUUGGAGCAGAUGAAGGUUUUUUUGCCACAAGCAACAGAAAAGUGCCG
rnacentral:lncRNA from 1 species